rnacentral:lncRNA from 1 species
AUAACAACUGCCAUGCCAAUGGCAGGCUCUGUGGAGGUGGGGAUGUCAACAAGCAAGGAGGUGCAGGCAAGGAUGACCUCACUGGGGGUUCCAGCAAUGCUUUCCUUUUGGUUGAAGAGCUGAGACAACAGAGCAUUGGAGAAGACGGGGAGUCUCAGAGUGGGUCUCCGCAGAGACCUCUGACGUCUGAAGUCCUUCUGAAGAAGUGUCUGAGGAUGCUGUGCGGUCCUGAGGCUGACUCAAAGGACAGCCAGGGCAUCUGGACCAUUGUAGGAUGUUAGAGAGCUGUGCUGCUGCUUCUCCCUCUGCCACAUCACACCCACGUUUCAGGUUCCCCUGAAUCAAGUGUGGACAGUCAUGGACACUGGUUGCCUGGUCUGUGAGAUGGGCAGUAGGAAGAUGUGAAAUUGUCUUGAGAUGGAGAGGUCAGUAGUAUCCAAAGCAGAUGUAGAAG